rnacentral:rRNA from 1 species
GAUGAACGCUGGCGGCGUGCCUAAUACAUGCAAGUCGAGCGAACGGACGAGAAGCUUGCUUCUCUGAUGUUAGCGGCGGACGGGUGAGUAACACGUGGAUAACCUACCUAUAAGACUGGGAUAACUUCGGGAAACCGGAGCUAAUACCGGAUAAUAUUUUGAACCGCAUGGUUCAAAAGUGAAAGACGGUCUUGCUGUCACUUAUAGAUGGAUCCGCGCUGCAUUAGCUAGUUGGUAAGGUAACGGCUUACCAAGGCAACGAUGCAUAGCCGACCUGAGAGGGUGAUCGGCCACACUGGAACUGAGACACGGUCCAGACUCCUACGGGAGGCAGCAGUAGGGAAUCGUCCGCAAUGGGCGAAAGCCUGACGGAGCAACGCCGCGUGAGAGAUGAAGGUCUUCGGAUCGUAAAACUCUGUUAUUAGGGAAGAACAGAUGUGUAAGUAACUGUGCACAUCUUGACGGUACCUAAUCAGAAAGCCACGGCUAACUACGUG